GCCGCAGCUGCCGCCUCAGCCCUUUGGCUGGGGGGGGAGGGGAGGGACUCUGGUGCUGCCUGGAACUUGUUUAUCUCAUGAGCUGCCACUCAAGCGGUGGCCCCGCCUUCCCCCUCACCGUUCUUCCCGAUUGGCCAAGGCUAAUCCCGCCCAUUCGCUCUUUGGGCCACGGGCAUAGGCGGGAAUGGCUGUCCUGCUCGUCAGUCAGGGGCCCUGGCACGCGCUGCUGGGGCGGAGCUGCUGUGGGCAGAGCGGCCGGGGCCGGGGCAGCGCGGAGCGGGAGCUGCCUUCCGUGUUGCACGGCUGCCCUCGGCCCGGCCUCGUGCCCCGCAGGGUGGCGUUGCCUGGACGGGGCAGGUGACGGCUCGGAGGGGAUGGAGCUGGGGGUUCCAUCUGUCCUUCUCCUGAGGGGUCAGAGGCGGAGAGAGCUGCCCCUCCCUGUGUAGCGCCCCCACACACACACACACACCCCUUGCAGCAGAGCGGGGCGGAUCUGUCACCCUCGGCCCCCAAUAAAGUGCGGGCAGUAGAGGCCCGGCCGGGUAACGCUUUGGUUUCCUUCCCGACCAGACCAAGAGGACAAGAGAUCUGAAGGUGUCCACUAAAUCCUGCAUUGCACGCUGACAUUGCACUAGGGCAGAACCAUGGCUUCAGGAAGUGUUGCAAAACCAAAGGUUUGCCCAGAACUCGCUUCACAGAGGUGAACCUGUAUUGCCGGCCAGCCCAUGGCGGUGGGAGUGAGACACCAUGUGCACUCCUGACUCACCGUCGACCUGACAACAUCCCCAAGAGGCGACUACACUCUUCUCUCCCUUGUUUGGAGGCCUCCAUGACUUAGUGUUUGGGGCUAAGGAAGGUACAUGAGUCAGCUUUGCUUCUGCCAUAGCUCCAAGUACUUGUGAAUCAGAAUUGUCUGAUAGCCUGCCUUCUCACUAUGCAAGCUUCUCUAAUGGUGGAUGCUGUCCUCAGCAGGGAUUUAUUUGUAGAUACCAAUAAAUGAAAAUCCAUAAGGCCUGAUCUUGAGCUGCUACAUUGCUGUCUUGCCCGGUGAGAGGUAUCAAUCCAAUGUUAACCAAUAUAAUUAAAUAAAAUUACAUACUUCAGAAGUGUUAAUAAAAGUGUUAAUAAAAAUAAAACCACUAUAGAAUUACCCUCUGUGGUCAAAAUAAUGCUUCAGUAUUUCCCAUUUCUCACAUUUUUCCCCAUCCUAAACUUCUGUCAUCUUCCUAACUAAGCAACUCCAACUUCUCCACCAUAAUUUAUCUCCCAUCUGAAAUCCCAAGUCUUUUUUAUCAUCUUUGUUUCUCUUUUCAAACACUCCCCACCUCCUCCUGCCUCCACUUUUCUGACAGUAUUUCACCAGUUUCUUCUGAGAAAAAUUGACAAAAAUGCAACAAGCCCUUCGCCUUCUCCUCACCUUCCCUUCCCCUCCUACAACUCAUUUUUCCCUGUCACUGAUACAGAAGUUUGUCUGCUCUUGUCCUCUAGCAUCUUCAUUAACCCCAUCCCACCUCCUGAUCUCUGUUGCACCCACUCUUAUCUCCUCCUUUAUCCUUCUCCUUAACCUCCCGCUCUUCCCCGGUUCUCUCUCCUCAUAAUACAAGCAUGCUUCAGUCUCUCCCAUCUUAAAUCAUGCCACCCUUGAACCACUUUUCUCUCCAACUGACAUCCCUCUCCCUUUUAUCUGUUUCCUCAUUCCAAAUCCAUCCUAGACCCUUUCGAAUCUAGCUUCUACCCCUUGCACUCCAAUGAAAUGCCUCACUAAAGCUUUUAAACUCAGAACCAGUACUCCAUCUUCACUCACCUCAACCUGUCAGCUGUCUUUGAUACCACUGAUGGUGCUCUUUUGAUAUCUUAUUCUCCCUUGGCGUCCAUGACUCAGUCCUCUCCUGGUCCUCCUCCUGCAUCUCUAAUCACUUCUUCAGUAUUGUCUUCAGAGGAUCCUCUUGUUUCCCCACUCCAACAUUUGGGGAAGGGCGGGGGGCAGAAGGCUUCACUAUGGUUCCCCUUCUCUUUACCCUCUAUACCUUAUGUCUACAUAAACUAAUCUGCAAAUUCAACUCAUUUCUAUGCAGAGAGCUCAUAGAUCUAUAUCUAUUCUAUACCUGUCUCUUUCUAUCCAAACUGAAGCCUCAGCCUGUCUCUGACAUUUCCUUGUGCACCUGCAGCCAUUAGCUUAUACUCAUGGCCAAAACAGAACUCCUAAUCCUCCAAUCCCUCUUUUCUCAGGGAAUGUACAACACCUCCAUCCCUGUCUCUCAGGUCCAGAACAUUCAACUUUGCAUUCUCUCUAAAUCCUCACAUCAUGGUUGUGUCAAUCUAGGUCAAAUCUUAUGCAGAAAAAAAUCUAAAAUACUGCCUUUCCUGUCCACCCACACAACUGAAACUCUCAUGAUCUCAUUAUUAAGGACCUCAUUAUCUCAGGCUGUAUCUACACUACAGCAGCUACAGCGGCACAGCCAUGGGCGGCGCGUGCACCCCCCUUCAGGGAGGCUAGGCCCCUGCCCUGCCAUUUCCACCCAAGACCCCUCCCCACUACCAGUCAGUCUGCUGGCGCAGCCCCGCACCUCAGCUGGCGCAGCCCCGCACCUCAGCUGGCACCCUGAACCUGGGCUGGCCCACUGGCACCCAGAGCAGUCCAGAUGAGCCCCUCAGGGCUGUGGCGGGGAGCAUUAGAGGAGGUUUCAGGAGGCUUAGUCUCCCCCAGCCUCCAUUACCUGCUGCACAUGGACACAGCUGCACUGAUGCAGCUGCGCUGCUGUAGCGCUUUUGGUGAAUACAUUCUAAGUCGACAGGAGAGAGCACUCCCAUAGGCUUAAUAAUUCCUGCCUCCAUGAGAGGUGGUAGCUAUGUUGGUGGGAGAAGCUCCCCUGAUCAUAUAGCACUUUCUACACUGGCGUUUAGGUUGGUAUAACACGUCACUCAGGGGUGUGCAUUAUUCACACCCCUGAGUGACAUAAAUUAGACCGAAGUAAUUUGCCGUGUAGACAUAGCCUUAGUUACCACAAUGUCCUUUUCUCUGGCUUUGACAAAUGCGGGCUUGCCUUAGCUAUAUCCAUUCCAGAUGCUGCUGCAAAGAUCAUUGCCCUAGCUUGUCACCCCUCUUUGCAUCGCUACACUGGUUCCCCUUUCCCUAUUGCAGCAAACAAACUAGUCUUCAUUUUCAAGGCCCUCCUUGCAUCUUAACUUCCUUCCAUUCCCUUCAGGAAAAGAACUGAUCGUAUCUGCCAACCCUAUGAAAGGAGAAAUUAUUUUAAAUCUUUAAUGUUGGAACAGAAAUAAAAUCACACCUUUGAAACAGAGGUAAUUAAAUAGAUGAGGCUAGAACCAGACAAGACUCAAACUUUUAAAGUGUAAGGGUUUUUAAAAGGUGAAUUAAAAUAUCUCAGAGAGCCAAGAACCUGUUUAAGACUCCAAAUCAUUAAGAAGCUAAGCGAAGAUCUACUAUAUUUAUUUGCAAAUGUUAAAACAAAAAUUAAGUUCUUUACAUAGCUGCCAAGACCUAAGAUCUGGGUGCAUGUUUUCCCUGCAACAAAGUCUUAAAGCAAGUGAUCUCCUGAACUCCUGGAGAGACAGUAUCUUUACUUCAGGUCCUGACAGGUAAAAAGGCUCAGUUAAUAACACUGUAUUUUAAAUUUGUGAGCCAAAUAUACAUGUAUUCUGUUGAACUUGGAUCAUAAAUCAAUUUUUAAAAGCAUUUCAGAUCACCUACCAGUAGUCUUAAGUAAAGCUGUAACUUUGAGUAGUGCCCUACAUGUAACAGGGCUGUUCUCUCAGGCAAUAGCUCUACAAUUGAUGGGAAAGGCAUUAACAUUCCAGAGCUAGCUCAGUCUUUCUCUGGACCUUCACUUCUGUUCACUCUUUUUACAAAUGUAGUCCAUAGAUUAAAAGGGCCACUCAGCAAGCAGUUUGGCCCAACAUGUUUUGAGAGGAAACUGUUACAAAACUUAGUAUUAAUAAAAGUGUUUUCAUUACAGUUUUAAUUCAAAUGAAAGCACUUUUUUAAAAAAAAAUUUAAGCCAUUCCUUGGCAGCAUUGUGGUGCCUUAGAAUCAGUAAAUGAAGCCAAUUAGAAAUAGAAAUGAAACUCCCUAGUUUUUUCAUUGUCCAAACUGAGUAAGAUACAGAAAGAAAAGAAGUGAAAAGUAAGUGAUAUUUUAAAUUUGUUUUAAUAACUUGGGGUAUAAGUAACAGAUAAGGAAAUGUAUGUUAACUCACUUUAAAUGUGAGGUUUCAGAGUAGCAGCCGUGUUAGUCUGUAUCCGCAAAAAGGACAGGAGUACUUGUGGCACCUUAGAGACGAACAGAUUUAUUUGAGCAUAAGCUUUCGUGGGUUAAAACC